ensembl:lncRNA novel transcript
CUAAAUGAUCUCAGAGAAGUGUCAGAAGAACUGACAGCCACCAUAUGUGAGUUGCCCUAUGGAGAAUGCCACAUGGCGAGAAACUGAAGGGGACCUCUGAUCCAUAGCCCUUAAGGAACUGAGAACUUCGGUCCAACAGUCCACAAAAAGUUGAAAUCCUGUCAACAACCAAGCUCAGAGGCAGAAGAAGGAACUUGCCUUGUCUCAGAUGAGAUUUUGGACUGUGGACUUUUGGAUUAAUGCUGAAAUGAGUUAAGACUUUGGGGAAUUGUUGAGAAGGCAUGAUUGGUUUUGAAAUAUGAGGACAUGAGAUUUGGAGGGGCCAGAAGAGGAAUGAUAUGGUUUGGUUGUGUCCCCACCCAAAUUUCAACUUGAAUUGUAGCUCCCAGAAUUCCCAUGUGUUGUGGAAGUGACCCAGGGAGAGGUAAUUGAAUCAUGGGGGCUGGUCUUUCCUGUGCUAUUCUUGUGAUAAUGAGUAAGUCUCAUGAUAUCUGACGGAUUUAUCAGGGGUUUCCGCUUUUGCUUCUUCCUCAUUCUCUCUUGCUGCCGCCAUGUAAGAAGUGCCUUUUGCCUUCUGCCAUGAUUGACCUUCUCCAGCCAUGUGGAACUGUAAACCUCUUUCUAUUGUAAAUUGCCCUGUCUCAGGUAUGUCCUUAUCAGCAGUGUGAAAAUAGACUAAUACAAUUGCUCGUACAGUUUCAUGUAAAGAUUUAGUAUACUGUAUAAUUGCUUUGGUCAUUUAAAUUUGCAGCCUAAUAGGUUCAAGGACCAAAAAUAAUAUUCUUAAAUGUAUAGAUUAACUGGCCACUAACUCAUAUAACUAUAUGUAAUAGAAUUAUUUCCUUGAUUUAC